UACUUUAAAAACAAACAUACACACGACAACACUUAUUCUUUUUUAAAAGCUUGAAAACAGCUUAAAACCUGAAAGCUCUUUCGCUAAAUAGUAGAAAAAGGAGUAGUUUAUGAAAGAAGCUUAUCUACCAACUGUAACUCUUAUAUUAUGUUGUGAAUACUUUGGAUACACAACAACAUUGUGUGGCACAGUACACAUAAAAAGGUAAUAAAUUCCGAAAAAUGUCAAAAUUCGUUUGUCAAAAAAUGGGCACGAAUCUGUCAGGCCGGCCUUUAAUUUUUAUAUUUCAAUCGCAGUAAACAGGAAAUUUGUUUUUGUUUUAAUUUAUAAAAUGUCAUUUGAAAAAAUUAUAAAUUAAAAAAUAACAAAUUUUCUUCGUGUUUCGUCUCGGAAAAUGGUAACUUAGUUGUUGUGCGAGGUUUUUCGGUUUUUGUGCACUUUUCGUCGAUAAUUUAAACAAUUAAGAAUUACGGUAGCUGACAUUGGUCGCCAAAUUGUCAUGUUUUGACAAUUUGGCAACCAAUGUCAGUUCGGAAGAUAUUACCUAUUUAUGUAUACUGUGCCGAUGUUGUUAAAGUAUUUUAAUUUCUGACGUAUGAGAAACAAAGAUCAUCAAAAUCCCUAAUAUUGUCAUUUUUUGAGCUUUAGUUACUCCACACUACUGCAUACUUUUUCUGGAGCUCAAUUUCUUUUAAACAGUUGUUUUUUUUUUUACAUAUUAACCCAUUGCCUGCCACUGUACUCAAUUGAGUAUACAGUAAAUUUAUAAAACUUAAACAUUUUUUUUUUUAAGUAGGCUUUGAUUUCUUUGGAUUUUAAAUUAAUCAUAGACAUGUGCCUUGUCACUCGAAAAAAAAUAGGAACUUGCUUGAGAGAUAUUUUCCUAGUUAUUCAUAUUUUUUUUUUGUGUCCAUUACUUUUCGAUUUUAGCAGAUUUGUGUGAUACCAAAACUAAAAGGUUUGUUAAAGUUUAAAUAUUUGAGCAAAUAGAACAAACGAUUAAAAAAAUACAAUUUUUGCCCACGAAAAAUGGAUUUUCAACAAUAAACUGCACCAGCUUUAUGGCAGACGCUGUCCAAACCUUUACAUGGCUGUUGACGUGUUGAUGAUAUCCAAGAUAACGGGAAUGAAUUCGACAUUGUAGUUAUUCCACCGGAUGUGGAUAUCCAAACGGAUGAGGAGGACACAUGUGAGGAUGAUUUAUUUGAUUCUACUAUUCCGGUUGACAUCCCAGGAGCGGUAGAAAUAGAAGUAUACGAUGGCUUUGAAAGCGAGGACGACAUUCCACUUGAUAAUUAUUUUCUUGAAAACUAGAAGACAUAUAGUUUUCACUGUUCGAUAAGGAAUCAAUUGAGGCAGUUUUGUGUGUGAAAAUUUUUUUUAUUAAAAUUCACAGUCUGGACAAAAAUAGUAUUAAAUGAGUUUUUAAAAAAAUUUGUUCGCCUAUUUUUAACUUUGAAAUCGAUUAUUUCAAAAACUAUUGGUUAUGUUAUAUUGAUUUAAAAAUUAGAAUCAAAUUUACAAUUUUUCCUUUCGGAAACGGUAUCAUUUAUUACUAAAACUGCCCCUCCCACCUAAACGGGGGGAGAUAGACCCCCCUUCCAAAGAAAAAAAAUGUUUGUAUUGAGCUCCUCUACAAAAACCCGCUAUCAAAUCCUGGCGCCCAGGUUAUCCUACUACGUGCCGAAACAACAUUUUUGUUCUAUACCUAAAAGUUCGAAUUUCGGUAUCUGGGUUGAAAUCGAAAAUUUUAUUUUUCUAAGCCAAUUUUGGAGUGAUUUUCAUAAAAAAUACCUCGAUUGAUUGGGAAAUAGAUAUAGUUUAUGAAUAUAUUUUUUAAAUAGCAUGUUGUUUUGAAAACAUAUACUUUAAAUUGAUGCCGAAGUUGGGCAAAUGACGAAAAAAAUGGAAUUUUUGAACUUUGACAGCUUAUAAAUUCUAAGUGGUUUAACCGAGUUACAUGUUUUAUACAUUGUUGAAAAGGUAUAUUUAUCUUCUAUCAGAAACUGUAAAAAAUCGAAAAUGGGUAAAAAAUUGUCGAAGCUAGAAUUCUUUCAAUGGGUGAAGGUCCAAAAAACCGUUUUUUGCCCGUAACUUCAGAUUUUGGGGGUGUUAGGGGAUUUUCAAAUACCGUUUCGUAAUCAGUGCGACUAGCUCUACAAAACCUGAUAGGUCUCCGCCCGCGUAUAUUUUGAAACCUCAUUUUUGUAAGACCGUGUAAUUUAAGGACAACCAUUUUAAAUAAGGGUGAGCCACAAUGUACAACUUCAAAAUGGUCUAAUGGUUGUAUUCCACUGCAAUGCAAUAUUUCAUUAUUUGACAAAUUUGGCAAAACUGAAAGAACAUUUGGAAUUGGAAGAUGAAGUUCAAACUAUUGAACAUUUUUUUGAUGAUGAAGUGACGAAUUUGAUUAUAGAGCAAAGUCAAAUAUACGCACUUGGACAAAACUGUCACACAUUCGCCCUUAGGAAAGAAGACCUUAAAAAGUUUUUUGGCAUAAGGCUCUUUUCUGGCUAUCACCACGUUGCCCCAGGAAUCACUUUAUUGGUGUUUAGACGAAGAUACCACAAUUCUAUUGGUAGCUAAUGCCAUGUCCCGUAAUCACUUCAAACAAAUUAAAUGUUUUAUUCAUCUGGCCAACAAUUCUCUUCUUGAAAAAACCGAUAAAAUGGCAAAAGUUCAGCCAUUGAUGAAAAUGGUUUGCCAUAAGUAUAAGGAAUGAAACUUUUUCCACGAGAAACUGUCUGUUGAUGAGGCUAUGGUAAAGUAAUUCGGUCAUCACUCUGCAAAGCAAUUUAUCCGAGGAAAAGUGUUCGGUUUUGAUAUGAGGAGUGGAUGCUUUGCAGUAGCGACGGAUAUUGUUAUAGUUUCGAUAUGUAUUGUGGAGCCAAGAAUGUCAAUCCUUCGAAUAAAUAUCUCCCCCUUGGAUCUCGUGUGGUGCUUGAUUUUCUGGAGGUUUACGUGGAACAAGAAUAUGUCCACUGAAAUCAUUGAAGAUGGUAAUGAAGGCCAAGCGUGAUUACUUCCACCAAAAAUUUGACAAAAACAGUAAUAUUUUGUUUGCGAGCGGGAAAGAUAAUGCUGUUGUAACCGGUGCAACUAAUUAUGACAUUUUAGAACCACUAGGUAAAGUGAAGAGAUGGCCAACAACCGAAAAAGAAAAAGUUUCAAUUCCCCAGCCUAAACCAUUAGUUGCCUACAAUCAAGGCAUGGGUGGCGUCGAUCUCAAUGACCAGUUUGUUAACAAUUACAGAAUCAAAAUCAAGGGCAAGAAAUGGUGGUGGCCAUUGUUAACACAUAUGAUCAACUCAAUGGUGGUGAAUGCAUGGCGACUCCAUUGUUUGAAAACCAACGAAAACCGUAAUCUUCUCAACUUUAUAAGAACAAUUGUGAGAACUUAUUUACGGUCGGGGCCUGCAAUAAAAGCACCAAACAAACCAACAGUUCCUAAAUAUGUGAUAAGCAGUGAUGGUGGGCACUUCCCCAAAAAAAUAAAAAAUCAGCUACUAUGCAGAAUUUGUCACAACAGAGCAAGAUGGACUUGUGAGAAAUGCCAAACAACGUGCAUCGAUAUCGAAAAGGAUUGUUUCAAAAUUUUUCACAAUUAGGAACUUUUAGUACAUACAUCUAGACAGUGUAGGUACUCAUUUGGGUACACCCCUGUAAAACCCAAAGUAAAAAAAAAAAAAUUUUAACUUUGAAUUUUUCGCUUAAUAAACAUAUCAAUAAACAUUAUUUAAAAGGAUUUUAAUUUUUAAGGGGGUCGGUCUUUCAUGGGUUAAGUUCGUUGGUAUUUGAAAAAGAAUUUAAUGUCUUUUUUUUCAUAGUUUCAUAUGCAUUUACCAAAUUUGUAUAAAAAAGUUUUAAACAUUUUAGCAAUUCGAUUUCUUAGAGCAAGUAACAAAAAACACAACUUUAAUGAGAAUUACUUUUGGAAAAGAGGUUUGAAUUAAAGCCAGGAACUCAAUUCAAUUAUUUUAUUUUGAUUUUUUUUUCUUGAUUCUAUUUAUUAGCGUUUUGUUUUUUCCUGGAAAGAGAGCGAUUUCAUGACCAUAUUUUGUCUAAUUUUGCUAUGCUGUUAUCCUUAAUCAGAUAUAAAAUAUAAAAAUAAAAAAGUAUUGAUUAUAAAUAAAAUGAAACUUCCUCAUUUUGUCAGUACCAGUAUAAAUAGGAAAAGCAGAGCCACUGAACAGAUUUAAGAUAUCCCAAUUAUAUAAGAAGAGAAUUAUUUGACAUUCCUCAUAGCAGUUUCUAAAUGUCAUUAGGCCAAAAAAGAUGCCUAAUAGCAAAAUCAGAUUUCGAAAACGGUAACAUUAUGUGAUUUUUUUUUACUGCAUUUUACAAAUGAUAAAAAAUGAAAAACAAAAACAAACAAACAUCCCUUUUAUCAUUUAUGCGAUAUGACACAAAAACCGCGUCUUUUACAAGGUAAUGAUUCGUCUUCCUUGAAUAAUGGUGAAAACCUCUCAUCGGGUUUGUCAGCAGCUUCAAGCACAACAUCCAGCAAUGUUGAGUCUCGUCCUGACAUCAUUGAGCUAGAGUCUAUCCCAUGCAUUUGUAGCAAUAUGGGCCACGAAGAAUAUUUUUCAACAGAGAUGCUCAGCUCAGUACUACAGUGGAGGAUCAAGAUACUCCAUGUUCAUCGUCGUCAAUCACAUGAAAAAGAAAUAUAACUGGCAUCUCUAAGGGCCAGUUGUACAAAUAUUUAAUCCGUGGUUCAGCAACUUUUAUCUUCUGCAUUCGGUGGUAAAAUUGAUUUUUAGCAUUGGAUCUAGGUUCAUAUAGGUUGAAAAAGCUAAAUCCAUCCUUGAACCAAAGUUGAACCACUGCUAAUCCGCCGAAAUUGGCGAGUUAAAUUCCUGAUCCGAGGCUGAACCACGUUUGUACAACUGGCCCUAAGGUAAUCCCCAUUAGCAAAGAAGUUUUUCAGCGCAAUACUAAGUUAAUUUAUCAUAGGUAUUAAAUCCAAUAAGUUGGCAAAAAAAUUUAUUUCUGUCGUUAAUGGAAAACAAAAAAAUAUCCAAAACAUGAUAAAUUCAAACUUCGAUAAGCAAUCAAAGACCAAUAGAGGUAUAUUAGUUUCGAUUGUUAAAACAAUAAUUUUAUGUUUGCGCCAGAAUUUUCCUUGAGAGGUAAAUGACUCAGGAAAUGUAAUGAUUGAAAAGGGCAAAACUAACAAUGGAAAUUUUAGAGCACUUCAUCGAUGAGUCGAGCUUUCAAUGGUUGCCAAGCCAAAAUGGGAAAAAUUCACCUGUGCUCUAUAUGUCCACUGCAGUGCUCACUCACUUAAUUUAGCUAUUGCAGACACAUGCAAAGAAAGAUAUAUUUCAAAUUGCCUUGGAUCAAUUAAAUCCGUUAGGAAUUUUUUCCAUUUUUCUCGGCCCAAAGGAGAAGGACUAGCACUUUGUAUAUAAAAUCUAUAGUACUAUCAUGAAGUGAAAUUUUUUAGUUUGUUCGUUACCUGAGUGGUCGCGAGGGCGCUUAGAUCGAAUAAAUAAUAAGAAUAAGGAGAUGAGAUAUACAUUUCUGUUUGAAAUUUGACAUAUUUUUUAGUUCGUUCGCUAGCUUACUAUUUUGGUAUCGCUGUUUUUUUUUCAUGAUAGUACUAUAGAUUUUAUAUACAAAGGACUAGCAUAUUGACAGAAGAAAUAAAAGUCCACAUGUUUCAAUUAAAACAUCUCUCCUUCAUAGUCAUGUGCGAAACCCGAUGGGUUCAAAAGACAAUAGUGUUAAGCAGGAAAUAAGAAGACGUCACAAAAGGCACACCAACUGUUGCAAGUACCUAAUUGAGAAAGAUAGCUUCAUUGUGGCUGUUUAAAUUUUUUCCCUAACAAUAAAUUUAUCGAAAUUCUUGCAACAGUUGAGUGUGACCUCAAAAACGCUUGUGACCACGUAGAUGACGUCAUUGAUGUUCUCCAAAACAUGCGAGGGAAUGUCGAGGCCAAAUUUAAACUAGUAUUUAAGGCAGCUGAAUUGCAAUACAAAAAUGUAAGUGACGAAGACAAAAUCUUGAUUCCCGCGACUUGCCAAUAGGAAAACAAAUAGAAGCAACGUCCAAGAAAAUUCAGCAGAGGAGUACUAUACUAGAUCAAUUUUCAUACCCGUCCGGAACCAUGCGAUAGAGCACCUCAAAAACCGAUUUAAAAACCAUAAAAACAUAUUAAUUUCGUUUGAUUACCUCCUCCCAAGUAGGUGCACAACUGUUCGUGCUGUCUUGUCUUGUCUGAUCUAAGCAGUUUUCCUGGUGAGUUUGUGGUCAAACAAAAUGGAGCAGAGUGACUGUGAAAGACCAAAAACUGCAUUGGAUACAAUAAAUAACUGUCCAAAUGAGGUCUUUCCAAUUAUAAAUUAAUUCUUGUUUUGGUAACUUUGUCCGUAUCGACAUCCACACCAGAGAGAGCAUUUUCUUCAUUACGUCGUUUGAAAACGUAUUUAAGGAAUUCGAUGGGAGAAGAGCGCAUCCACAAAAACAUAGAAGUUGACCUCAAAAAAGUCGUCAACAAAUUUGCUUUGAAAGGCAGACGUCCAGGUUUUCCCCUUUAAAUUAAUGCUUUUCUAUCUAUUCAUAAAUGUUUCCAAACUGUGUUAUUUUAUAUUUAAUAUUUGUGUAAUUUUGUUUAAAAGUCAGCUAUUACAUGAAGCCUCAAGUGGAGCGACUCUUUUUUAACAUAAUGAGUGCAAAAGAGAAAAAAGAAAAAAUUAUCCGACCGGAGAGUCGUGGGUCGUGAGUCCGAGACUCUUUUUUGACGUUUCUUUUUCCACUUUUUCUUUUUUCAACAUACCCUCUCAUUUCAUCAAAGAGAAAUGUCAAAUUUGAGUCCUUGACUCAAGAGGCAUCGUGUAAUAGUUAGUACGCGCCUCACAGAAUGAUUAUCAAAAGAAAAUUCGAAAAAAGAGUCAAACCUCUUGAGGCUUCGUGUAAUAAUAGCUGACAAAGAAUCUAGUUUUAAAAAAGUUUAUUGUAGUAAUAUUAAUAUAAUUUAAUAUUAUACAUAUUAUCGAUAUUUAUGUAUUUAUUUUGAGUUUAUUCUGCUUUCGUUUUUAUUCGUACCUAAAAAAACAAGGACGCUGCGAUAGUGAGGCCGAAGUGCCUAUUUUUAAAAUUUUUAUUCUUUAAAUUUCACCAAUGAC